AGCUCCGGGGUGUUAUCACGUUAGAUUGCAAAUCUAAAGAGGCAGGUUAGCGCCUGCCGGGGCUU
rnacentral:tRNA from 2 species